CUUCAGCAUAUAAUGCAAUCCUCGAAUGAUCUGGAUUAAAUACCUUGAGAGCCAUCGUCUCAAUGUACCAUCUCCUCAUCUAGUUUCUAACCAAGAACGAAAUUGAAAAGAUGAGAGGUGACCAAGUACCUGCGAGAUAAUGUUUCAUGGCAACAGUCCAAGGAAAAAAGUCUAAGAAAACUCUGUCAAUCGAAGUGUUGGACCUA
rnacentral:lncRNA from 1 species